GCAUUGGUAGUUCAGUGGUAGAAUUCUUGUCUCCCACACUAGUGACCUGGGUUAAAUUCCCAGCCAGUGUC